GCAGGGCACAGUGGCACAUGCCUGUAAUCCCAGCGGCUUGGAGGCUGAGGCAGGAGGAUUGCAAUUUCAAAGCCAAACUUGUAAUUUAAUGAGGCCCUAAGCAACUUAGUGAGACCCUGUCUCAA
rnacentral:sRNA from 1 species